rnacentral:rRNA from 1 species
UACGGAGGGUGCAAGCGUUAAUCGGAAUUACUGGGCGUAAAGGGUGCGUAGGCGGUUGCUUAAGUCUGUUGUGAAAUCCCCGGGCUCAACCUGGGAAUGGCAAUGGAUACUGGGCAGCUAGAGUGUGUCAGAGGAUGGUGGAAUUCCCGGUGUAGCGGUGAAAUGCGUAGAGAUCGGGAGGAACAUCAGUGGCGAAGGGCGGCCAUCUGGGACAACACUGACGCUGAAGCACGAAAGCGUGGGGAGCAAACAGG